UGCAUUAGUAAAGUUACGGAUCAACCUCUCCAAAAAGUUCACUACCAACCCAAUUUUCAUUAACUAGUGAACUGAAGCUUUCGUGUGAAAGCCAUCCGCUAAAAACUCUGAACGGACGAGAAGAAACUGAAUCUUCUUUCUUACCAAAACUGAUAGAUAAUGGCCUAUGAUCAGACUUUUUCUUCUGAAUAUGAUACAUUGUCAUACACAGGAAGGUCAAUUCCCAUUGAUAGUUACAAAGAGCUCGAUCCAGCCAUUUGAAGAUAAAACCUCUAUUUCAUGUGAAUUUAGGUCCUUUAUAGCCAAGGUUCUUCAAAUUACAUUCUCGAAUAACCUGUUGGAAUAACAGGCAUCCUACUACAGUCUUCCUUGAACCCUCUUUUUUCUCAUCUACACUCAGCAUUGCGCAAAAAUCCCCGACUAUCAACCACGGAUUUUGUAUGGUUUGCACAAUAUGGUCCAAGCCUUGCCAAAGGGCUCCCUUCUUGGUUUGUUGUGGACUCCCAUAAAUCGCAGUAAAAAAUAGACAAUCAGCCAAAUUGGGAAAACAGACUUUCAUGUGAAUAAAUUGGGUAUGAUUGAGAAUCACCUCCACUUGAAUAUUCUCCUUCCAAAGUACUCAAAUUCCCCCAAAAAAUCCUUUCGCUUUAAUUCUAUAGGAAAACGGUAAACCAAUUUUCCCAAUCACCUUAUCUGCCUUGGCACCACUCAGCCGAGUCUUUACCAUAACCACAAUUCCAAGAUCAAAAUCCUUCAAUUAUUCUUUCAAAAAUCGAUGAAAAUUUAGAUGCCCAGCACCUUCACAGUUCCAAAUGAAUAUAUUUGUUUUCAUCAUAAAAGAAAACAGAGGAUAAAGGCUAACCUGCAAUUAGGAGUGACGGUCCAGGGGUAUCAUCCAUAUCAGUAGCCCCUUCUCCAUCACCUUGAUCCAAGGGAUCCGAACUACCAUCUCUAGGGUGAAUUUCGAACUGGGAGUUGUUACCCCUUAAUGAAACUCCAAUCUAUCAACAACUCCUUUGAUGGCAUGUUGUACCAGGAUUGACUCGUCUUCUUCAGGCAAAUCUUGAUUUUCGCUUCCAUUCUCAGGUCGUAAAGGUUCUUUAAAAAAUAACGUUUUUAAUUCUGGUGGUAGAGAGGAUGAGGACACUAGGUUUUGAAUAAUCAUAUUAGAUUUUGAAGUUUCCCGAUUCUCAACAAUUAACAUUGGGG
rnacentral:lncRNA from 1 species